rnacentral:rRNA from 1 species
UACGUAGGCAGCAAGCGUUGUUCGGAAUUACUGGGCGUAAAGAGUGUGUAGGCGGUGCUCCAAGUCUGGUGUGAAAUCUCCCGGCUUAACUGGGAGGGUGCAUUAGAAACUGGAAUGCUAGAGGAUGGGAGAGGUAAGCGGAAUUCCUGGUGUAGCGGUGAAAUGCGCAGAUAUCAGGAGGAACACCUGGUGGUGUAGACAGCUUACUGGACCAUUUCUGACGCUGAGACACGAAAGCGUGGGUAGCAAACAGG